GCGAAACAGGACCCGGCGGUGCGGGGGACGAUAAAGUACCUACCGCUUCCCCGGGAGCCCCAGAGCUUCUCAUCGGGAAGCAGCGCUGACGGACGGGGCGGAUCUGGCUCCAGCUUAGAGAAGCUCGACGUUGGACCUAACGUUAGCCCGCCCGAAGGGGCCGCAGCGACCCUGGAGCCGCACAAGGGCCGCGCGAUGCCCGCCGGCACCGCGGGGACGCCGGGAAGGGGCGGCGCGGCCCCCCUCCCCACRCCAGGCGACCGUCCCGGUCGUGCCACCUCCUCCCGGCCUGGCUAAACAGCCYCCUCGGGGACUUCCCAGCCCAAACGCGCUGGGAAAAGGGCGACUUGGUGACCGUCACGGGUUUGCAAACGAUUUCCUGGACUCGGCCCCCGCCGCUGUCGCAUCUUGGCACGCGGCGCGUUCGCGGCGUGCGGCCGGCCCCGCUCCCCCCGCGCCGAGCCCCGGUCGCGUCGGACGCCUGAGCGCACGAGCUGCGUCGGGACGAGGAUAUUUAUAGCCCAUUCAUUAAAAUACCGCCGUCCCCCCCCCGAUGAGGGGUUCGGCUGCAACACGUGAGGCGGCUUGUUUUGCACUGCGCCUGCUGCAGCAGAGGCAACCUCCCUCCCUGCCUCCCUCCCUCGCGCCGCUCGGCAUCAAUGACACAUCCUAAAGUCAUACGUGACACGGGAACGGGGCUGUUGCGCUCUCACGGACGCGAGCCCGAAGGUAACGCGGCCCCUUACGCAACCGGGCGCCCCGACCCCCGCCGUGCGCCGCACGGGCAACCGCGUUUCUUGAAGGAAGAGCGAACCCCCCAGCCAGGCUCCCUGCCGCGCUGCCUCUGCCGGAGGGGCGCAAACGAGCCGCCGCCGCCGCGCGCGGGCCGCAGACCCCCGAAGGGCAGGACCCCCCGGCGAGGCACCYACCUCCUGGCGCGAGCCGCAGGCGCGCAGACCCGGCCCCGACUUUGCAAGUUUUUCCCAGCAGUGAAGAGGUGCAGUCAGGAGAGAGAAGGAAAAAAAAGGAAGAAGAAGACGAAGAMGAAGAAGAAAGCAUCAGCGGAAGGCAGAAAGCAAGCUGGCCGAGAUGGAGGCUCUGCGGCUUUUGGAAGACAGCCUAAAGCGCCGGUCCGGAGCAACCGGGAGCGAUCGGGAAAGCUGGAGCAGACGGAGCCGGAACGCGGACGGAAAGCGGGAUGAGAUCAGACUGGAGGAGCCCUUUGGAGGACGAGGGGGAAAGGAGCUCCCGGCUCUUCGCAGUAACGCUGCAUUUCGACGGGAUCCUCACCUCCAGCGGCUCAAGGGGAAAGGCACUGAAGCACAAGAAGAAAGUUACUUGCAUCUGGAAGUUUUUAAUUCCUACUGCCACAGCCAACACCUGUGAUUACAAGACAGGCACCUACGAUUAUAAAACACAGGAAAUGUUUGAGAAAAAUAUUUUUGUUUCUCUCCCUUCCGUUUGUUUACUCUGUACAUUUCACAGCACUUGCUCUCAUCGCCGUUUCAGCGUCUCCCUCUCUCCGAACACAGUAUCAAAGAUCCGCAGAAGCGGGAAGAAGCAUCCGAGUGCACAGGGGAACGAGCCAGGCACGUGCGGAAAACAGCUCCACGAAACCUCCUAUUUUUGCUGUUUACUUUUUUAAAAAGAAAUGACAGCUGUGAAAUGACACRAAACGUGCAAGGUGUCCAACAGACUCAAACAAAAGUCGUUCUUUCUUCUCGAAUCGCAUCCUGCUGUCAAAAGCCUUUAGAGAAGUGCAGAGCACGACGGGGGGGACCUGAGCAGUCGCUGCAGCUCUGCUGCUUUUCUGCGGGCUCUUAACCCCCUGCAGUGACCAGAUUUCAAGCCAAUCACACCUUUUCAAGUGCUGUUGCUCACUUCUCACACGUACAUGGAAUUUAGGACUAGAAAAUGCGACGCUUCUCCAUUUUCUAGAGUAUCGGCAACCGUAGCACCAAUCAAGAGCUGUUCUGGGAYUACCUACCUACCUACCCACCCACAUCUCUAGCCAAAUCUACAGCGCCAAGGAAGACACCAUGAUUUGCUGGAAGAACUUUGGAAGCCGAGCUGCAGCAAACACCUCGGGAGCGGCUGGAACCACGCCGCGCUUUCCAGAACUGAACCCGAACGGCUGCCGGGUUGGGGAGCUGGAGCGGGCUCUCGCAAAGCCUCGCUACCAUCGCGCACCAUCGCGCGCCU
rnacentral:lncRNA from 1 species